rnacentral:rRNA from 1 species
AACGGCCGUACCAUGCUGAAUAUACCGGUUCUCGUUAGAUCACCGAAGUCAAGCAUCAUUGGGCGCGGUCAGUACUUGGGUGGGUGACCUCCUGGGAACACCGCGUGCCGUU